AGAGUAAAUCUCCCAUAUUAGAGUUUCUUACAAUUCCAAUUCCAAGCAACGAAAACAUCCUCUAGGAACUUAAAAUUCAGAGUAAUAACAGCACAAAAUGCACAUAGAAUUAUUAUUAAGAAUAACAACGGGAAAUAGAAUUGGUAUGCACGAAAGGUGGAAAAAGAAUCAAGCCAUAACAGAAGAACUACAUCUGAGCGACCAAGGAGAUUCAAGAUAGAUAUAAGAUUUGCUUCCUGGUAACUAUCAAUAACAAGGGAAAUAGAAUUGGUGUGCACGAAAGGUGGAAAAAGAAGUAGGUCAUAACAGAAGAACUACAUCUGAGCGACCAAGGAAAUUCAGGAUAGAUAUAAGAUUUGCUUCCUCGUAACUAUUUAUACCCAAAACUAAUACUAAGCUCAUUCAGGCUUUUGACAACAGAUCAAGCAUCUAACCAAAUUGAUAUACUUCUUUACGUUGAUCCAAAACUCAAAAAUUCUGAACUAUUCUUAGAAGUUCUAUACCUUUCACAAAACACUGAUUUGCUUAACAUUCACCAGUCAAUAAACAAGGGAAAAUUAAAUUAACCUCCCUUCCAUUUGCAAAACUUCGCGUAUGCCUUUGAAUUUCCAGAAGUUGCAAAAACUUUCCCUUAAAUUCCAUUUCCACUUCCUUCUCCAAAUUUUCAUAUGUAAAUUGAAUGCACUUGCAAUCGAUUACACACAGGCAUAUCUUCAAAAAUUCAAAAAAAAUUUCUAUUAAUCAGUUAAAAACCAUCUUUCUCUAAAAGCUAACCUAUGCAGAUUUCCUCUCUACAGUCGACACCAGCAAAAAAUUUAGAGCUCGACAAACUCAACAUAAUUCAUGGGAUUUGUAGCAGAAAUUCUCAAUGACUUUGAAAGUCUAUCAGAAAAAUAGAAACAUCAAGUUUUACAUGACCUCAAUUCUACGCAAGGCACAGCUCAAUACAAAAAGUAAUCAAA